rnacentral:lncRNA from 1 species
GCACAGUUUAAAAAAAAUACACCAGCAGAGUUAAAUGGGAACACGAAACCGUGACAAGCAUUCACAUUUGAAGAAGGAACUUUUCCCACAAGAACUGCAACAGAGGUUAAAAAUUUGUACCCAGAGCCCUCCCAGAAGUGAAAGACGUCAAUGUUUAGAGUAUAUAGAGCUGGCUCUUCGACACCCCUGAACCCCACUUCUCCAAACUCAGGAGCAGCGUGGUGCGACGAAGUGUGCGUGAGCUCCCUCACAGUUCCUACCCCAGCAGCACAUCACGGGCUGGGCGAGAUUCACUCCGCAUGGAUCAUUCUAGUCUUUCAAUUCACAGGGGCAAAAAAAUAAACGUAAGCGCUCCGAUGCCAUCAGUUGUUGUAAACCCAGCCCUUCCCCUGCCUGGAAAGCAGCUCCACGAACACACACGGAUGCCUCCACAGCAUGGCUGAUGAGCAGAGUAGUGCCUGGGAUCCACACCCGUGAACCUGGGCCACCAAAACAGAGCAUGCGGAACUUUAACCACCUAGCCACAGGGCCGGCCCCUAUCUAUCGUAUUUUAAAGAAAAUUUCUUUGGUUUCAUUGAAUAAGUGCAAGGAGAAGCGUCAUGUGUGGUGUAACAAGGACGAAGAUAAGUGAAAAUACAGAAGCUUAAUUCCUGCCAAAAGCUUUCAGCAUCUCACAGUGUCAGGAUUAAGAAAACAGACACUGCAGCCAGAAUGCCUGUGGUUGAUCCUGCUCGUGUGACCUGGGCAAGUCACUUCACCUCAUUUGCCUCAAUUUCUCCAUCUGCAAAAUGGGCCUAAU